AAGCCCCGGCAGGAAUUAUCCUGCAUCUUAAGGUUUGCAACCUCACAUGCUAACACCCCAGGGCC
rnacentral:tRNA from 1 species